rnacentral:rRNA from 1 species
CGCGGCCUAUCAGCUAGUUGGUGAGGUAAUGGCUCACCAAGGCGACGACGGGUAGCCGGCCUGAGAGGGCGACCGGCCACAUUGGGACUGAGACACGGCCCAAACUCCUACGGGAGGCAGCAGUGGGGAAUAUUGGACAAUGGGCGCAAGCCUGAUCCAGCCAUGCCGCGUGAGUGAUGAAGGCCUUCGGGUUGUAAAGCUCUUUUGUCCGGGAAGAUAAUGACUGUACCGGAAGAAUAAGCCCCGGCAAACUUCGUGCCAGCAGCCGCGGUAAUACGAAGGGGGCUAGCGUUAUUCGGAAUUACUGGGCGUAAAGCGCACGUAGGCGGAUCAGAAAGUCAGAAGUGAAAUCCCAGGGCUCAACCUUGGAACUGCCUUUGAAACUCCUGGUCUUGAAUUCGAGAGAAGUGAGUGGAAUUCCGAGUGUAGAAGUGAAAUUCCUAAAUAUUCGGAAGAACACCAGUGGCGAAAGGCGCUCACUGGCUCGAUACUGACGCUGAAGUGCGAAAGCGUGGGGAGCAAACANGAUUAGAUACCCUUGGUAGUCCACGCCGUAAACGAUGAAUGCCAGUCGUUCGGUAACAUGGCUAUCCGUGGACACACUAACGGGAUAAGCAUUCCGCCUGGGGAGUACGGCCGCAAGGUUAAAACUCNAAGGAAUUGACGGGGGCCCGCACAAGCGGUGGAGCAUGUGGUUUAAUUCGAAGCAACGCGCAGAACUUUACCAACCCUUGACAUGGCAGUGACCGUUCCAGAGAUGGAUCUUUCUCGUAAGAGACACUGCACACAGGUGCUGCAUGGCUGUCGUCAGCUCGUGUCGUGAGAUGUUCGGUUAAGUCCGGCAACGAGCGCAACCCACGUCUUUAGUUGCCAGCAUUCAGUUGGGCACUCUAAAGAAACUGCCGGUGAUAAGCCGGAGGAAGGUGUGGAUGACGUCAAGUCCUCAUGGCCCUUACGGGUUGGGCUACACACGUGCUACAAUGGUGGUGACAAUGGGUUAAUCCCAAAAAGCCAUCUCAGUUCGGAUUGGGGUCUGCAACUCGACCCCAUGAAGUCGGAAUCGCUAGUAAUCGCGUAACAGCAUGACGCGGUGAAUACGUUCCCGGGCCUUGUACACACCGCCCGUCACACCAUGGGAAUUGGUUCUACCCGAAGGUGGUGCGCCAACCAGCAAUGGAGGCAGCAAAGCACGGUAGGAUCAGUGACUGGGGUGAAGUCGUAACAAGG